GUUCCAUCAUGAAUGAGGUCAGAGGUGACCAUCUCACAGCCUGCAGGGACACACUGGUUGGUCCAUGAAGCAUCAUUGCCUCUGACAUGCCCACCAUCAAGACAAAGACUACAAAGAAAUGGGGAUUCCCUCAAGAAUCUCAUGCCGAGAGAAGGAAAAAGUGUCCAUCAAAAGAACGUGUCUCCUGGAAAGAGUCUUGCACACAGUUGUGACAACUUAUCAGCCCACAUCACAGGGCUGCGUGAAAUCUCAAGGACAGCACAGUGGUAAGCAGGGUCCCACCUGGACUGGGACUGCAGAUGCCCGGGCCUCCUAUGUCUCAGUUUCCCACCUGGACACCAGCAUGACUUUCAGACAGCAGUCACUCUGACUCUGGAGCCCAACUGAGACUGAUCAGAUCAAUCGGCUUUCAGAAAUGGGGAUGUGACAAGUGACGCCAGCUAAACCUCCUCUAGCGACUGCGCCACGCGCAUGGAAAGAUACACUGUAGAGCGAGGGGGACAGAGUUACGCCCGGGCUCUCUGGAUGGCAGCUUUGGAAAGUUGACGAUUUAUCACCUACCCCAACUCCUUCUCAAGUGUGGUCUGGGACUCGUUGCUCAUCCGUGUGAUUUUGCCAAGUGGUGUUUGGACUUGGCGUUGGGAGUUCACACUGUAGGCGGUGAUGGCAGUGAUCUGAAGCCUGAAUACCUUAAUAAAUAAUUACGGUGAUUCUGUGAUCACCAGACA
ensembl:antisense 1700034H15Rik RIKEN cDNA 1700034H15 gene